rnacentral:rRNA from 1 species
UACGUAGGGUGCGAGCGUUGUCCGGAAUUAUUGGGCGUAAAGAGCUCGUAGGCGGUUUGUUGCGUCGGCCGUGAAAACUCAGGGCUUAACUCUGAGCCUGCGGUCGAUACGGGCAGACUUGAGUUCGGUAGGGGAGACUGGAAUUCCUGGUGUAGCGGUGAAAUUCGUAGAUAUCGGGAGGAAUACCAGUGGCGAAGGCGCUGGGCUGGACGGAUACUGACGCUGAGGUGCGAAAGCGUGGGGAGCAAACAGG